UCGCUAGAGAUAGCUUAGUGCCUUCGGGAACUCUGAGACAGGUGCUGCAUGGCUGUCGUCAGCUCGUGUUGUGAAAUGUUGGGUUAAGUCCCGCAACGAGCGCAACCCUUAUCCUUUGUUGCCAGCGAGUAAUGUCGGGAACUCAAAGGAGACUGCCGGUGAUAAACCGGAGGAAGGUGGGGAUGACGUCAAGUCAUCAUGGCCCUUACGAGUAGGGCUACACACGUGCUACAAUGGCAUAUACAAAGAGAAGCGAACUCGCGAGAGCAAGCGGACCUCAUAAAGUAUGUCGUAGUCCGGAUUGGAGUCUGCAACUCGACUCCAUGAAGUCGGAAUCGCUAGUAAUCGUAGAUCAGAAUGCUACGGUGAAUACGUUCCCGGGUCUUGUACACACC
rnacentral:rRNA from 1 species